CCAUGGCCAAUGCCACAUAACUGUUGGCAGUAGCUUUAUGCUUCAUACCCACCAGUCAAACUAUCAUCCACACGGGACCACACCACUGAACCAAGACUCCAUAUUUACCAAGAAGAUUAGGAGAAGACUAUUGUCAAAUGCUCUUUAGCUUAGUCUUAAAUAGACUUUCUGCAGAACUGAAUCCCCCGCCCCCCGUAUCCCCAUGUUAUUUAUCCAUGUGUUAGAACAUAUUUAAUUAAUUAAUAGAAUAUUGGGAUAAAUGUUUACUUAUAACUGUUUUUGAAUAAAAAAAAUACAAGUGGGGUUUUCUUAGUUUCUGGUUCAAGAAUUGACCAGUGAAGGCAUUCUUGGUAAAUCCCAAAUCAACAAACCAAAUGAUUCUGUUUAUGUUGAGCUCUCAUUUUCUCUGAAGUUGAUUGGUUUCUUGAUUUUUGUUGUUUGGACUUCACUUUAAGCAACCCCCAUUUUCUGUAAUUCUUCUUUUAAUUUCUUUUUCUUAAAUAUCUCUUCUUUGUAACUGUAAUGGGCUUUAUUUCUUCAUCUGGGUUGUUCAAGAAUUGCUUAAAGGAGAAGACUUUGAAUUGAUCUUAAAAUGGGUGUGGCUAAAAAUUUGAUCUUUUUGAGGAAAAAUGAUGGGGUUUUGCUUAGAGUUUUAUUCAGUUUAUGGUUCAUCUUUGGUGGGUUUUGUCCAGUAAUGUGCCUCAGGCCUCUCAGGGAAAGAUAUCGAUCGUGGGGCGAUGAGUGGCUUCUUGUGAGAAAGGAUGAAAAUGAAUUGGGGCCAUUUUCUGCUUGGAAUAUAACAGGAACUUAUAGAGGGUCUUGGAGAUUCCUAGAUUCAACAAAUGGCUCUUCCAGGUUUCCUGAUUUUAGGAAGUCCAAUGGCAACUCGGUCCUUGAGUUGAUAAGUAAUCCAACAAAAAUAACUGGUGUACAUUAUGUUCAGGGUGCAAUAAUUUUCCAUGAUGUUUUUGACAAUGAACAUGGAGUUGAUGGUGCACAAAUCAGAGUAGAAGGUGUAUAUAUAUGGCCAUUCAGACAACUUCGAAUGGUAGCUUACAGUGGCAAAGAUGGUGAGUUUGGGCAGGAAGAUGAUUAUCUAUUGUCAAAUCCGUAUCACUUGCUUGGAGUUUUCUCAUCCCAGAUCUUCCAGGAGUCUUCUCGAGAUAAGAUUUGGAAAAAGAAACACUCACCGUUUUAUGAGAUGGAGAAACAGUGUAAUAUUGAAAUUGCUGCACAAAUUGCUCGUGUCUCAUCCUCCACAAAUGGGAGCUGCCAAAGUUUCAAUUCUGAUGAUUGGACAACAGGCUAUCAUGGAUGCUUAUCUUUGUCUUUUGCAUCUGACCGCAGGAAUACUUGUUGAAUCCCUUUUCAAUGCUUUUGCAACUGCUGCAUUCUUCAAGUUUGUUGUCUUCUCGAUAUUUGAGAUGAGAUAUCUUCUUGCUAUAUGGAAAGCAAAUAGGCCAAUGAAUAGUGGAGAGGGUUGGGAAGCAAUGAGGCGUGAACUCUCAGUACUUUACAGCCGUUUCUAUGGGAUCCUUUUAGGUGGUAUAUUGGUCAUGUACGAGUUUCACAAGCUUCUACGCCCUAUUCUUCUCCUUUUACACUCUUUUUGGAUACCUCAAAUUGUAACUAAUGUCAUUCGUGACUCGAGAAAAUCAUUGCACCCUCAUUACAUCUUGGGAAUGAGUAUAACUCGUCUGGCAAUCCCAUUAUAUGUCUUUGGCUGUCCUCACAAUUUCAUGCGUAUAGAGCCUGACAAGAAUUGGUGCAUUUGCUUGGGAGUUUUUAUGUCGUUGCAGGCGGCAAUUCUUCUUCUGCAGCACUAUCUUGGAUCUCGUUGGUUCAUUCCACGUCAGAUUUUACCCGAGAAGUAUAAUUAUAACAGAAGGUUUGAUCAGGGUGCCAAUAGUGCCGCUGAUUGUGUUAUUUGUAUGGCUGCUAUUGAUCUUUCUCAACGUUUAAAUAAUUGCAUGGUGACACCUUGUGAUCAUUUCUUUCAUUCCGGUUGUUUGCAAAGAUGGAUGGACAUAAAGAUGGAGUGUCCAACAUGUCGACGUCCUCUUCCACCAGCCUGAAUAGAUAUUAUUUCUUGAAUUCACAUUGAUAUAGAGCAACUGACAUUGCUCAACCUGUUUAAAAAGGUUGACAGACUGAGAGCAUACUUAAGAAGUCUUCACUAAGUUAUUGAAAAAUUAACACAGAUUCACCAGACUGCUGCGCAGAUGGCCUGUAAUGUACAUUAGUAAUGUAAUAUCUUGUUUAAGUGAUAACUGCCUAUUCUUUUCUUGUAUUACACCACACAAACAGACUUCUUUAGAAAUACAUUUACUUGAAUCUAGAGCAAAUUAUGUGGGAAAAUGUGUAGUUAUUUCCAAGUUGUGAAUUCUAGACUGAAAGUUGAUAUCUUUGGCUGGGGAGGCCUAAGAUCAGGGUCCUAUCUUCAGAUGUAAAUUACAGGUACAUAGCAUAUAUGUUUGGUUUUCAAGGACAAGUGAUGUGUAUAUUAAUGUCGAA